rnacentral:rRNA from 1 species
GUCGCAAGACCAAAGUGGGGGACCUUCGGGCCUCAUGCCAUCAGAUGUGCCCAGAUGGGAUUAGCUAGUAGGUGGGGUAACGGCUCACCUAGGCGACGAUCCCUAGCUGGUCUGAGAGGAUGACCAGCCACACUGGAACUGAGACACGGUCCAGACUCCUACGGGAGGCAGCAGUGGGGAAUAUUGCACAAUGGGCGCAAGCCUGAUGCAGCCAUGCCGCGUGUGUGAAGAAGGCCUUCGGGUUGUAAAGCACUUUCAGCGGGGAGGAAGGCGUUAAGGUUAAUAACCUUGUCGAUUGACGUUACCCGCAGAAGAAGCACCGGCUAACUCCGUGCCAGCAGCCGCGGUAAUACGGAGGGUGCAAGCGUUAAUCGGAAUUACUGGGCGUAAAGCGCACGCAGGCGGUCUGUCAAGUCGGAUGUGAAAUCCCCGGGCUCAACCUGGGAACUGCAUUCGAAACUGGCAGGCUAGAGUCUUGUAGAGGGGGGUAGAAUUCCAGGUGUAGCGGUGAAAUGCGUAGAGAUCUGGAGGAAUACCGGUGGCGAAGGCGGCCCCCUGGACAAAGACUGACGCUCAGGUGCGAAAGCGUGGGGAGCAAACAGGAUUAGAUACCCUGGUAGUCCACGCCGUAAACGAUGUCGAUUUGGAGGUUGUGCCCUUGAGGCGUGGCUUCCGGAGCUAACGCGUUAAAUCGACCGCCUGGGGAGUACGGCCGCAAGGUUAAAACUCAAAUGAAUUGACGGGGGCCCGCACAAGCGGUGGAGCAUGUGGUUUAAUUCGAUGCAACGCGAAGAACCUUACCUGGUCUUGACAUCCACAGAACUUUCCAGAGAUGGAUUGGUGCCUUCGGGAACUGUGAGACAGGUGCUGCAUGGCUGUCGUCAGCUCGUGUUGUGAAAUGUUGGGUUAAGUCCCGCAACGAGCGCAACCCUUAUCCUUUGUUGCCAGCGGUCCGGCCGGGAACUCAAAGGAGACUGCCAGUGAUAAACUGGAGGAAGGUGGGGAUGACGUCAAGUCAUCAUGGCCCUUACGACCAGGGCUACACACGUGCUACAAUGGCAUAUACAAAGAGAAGCGACCUCGCGAGAGCAAGCGGACCUCAUAAAGUAUGUCGUAGUCCGGAUUGGAGUCUGCAACUCGACUCCAUGAAGUCGGAAUCGCUAGUAAUCGUAGAUCAGAAUGCUACGGUGAAUACGUUCCCGGGCCUUGUACACACCGCCCGUCACACCAUGGGAGUGGGUUGCAAAAGAAGUAGGUAGCUUAACCUUCGGGAGGGCGCUUACCACUUUGUGAUUCAUGACUGGGGUGAAGUCGUAACAAGGUAACCGUAGGGGAACCUGCGGUUGGAUCACCUCCUUA